GUCACAUUGCCUUUGCAAGUGAGGGCAGCUAGGAUUUUAGCAAUCACUUAUGAAAGCCAACCUAGUGAAAGCUCUUUCAUUAAUUUGACAGUUACUGCUUAAAUAUGCCAAUGGAAUACAAAAAUCAACUUUAAUUUGGAAUAUACAAAAUAUAUUGAUUAUUUUUUUUCUAUAAUAUGAAAAUAACCAGUCUGACAAAAGAUGUUAAAGACACUAAGACACUAUGAAGAAGGUAAAGGACCUGCAGAACUGGAGUUUCAACUUCAACAAAACCUAGUGAUUCCAUUGUCUUGCGAAUCUCAGAAACAAU
rnacentral:misc_RNA from 1 species